rnacentral:lncRNA from 1 species
GGUGUCGUGCCUUGUGUUAGUUGCUAGGGCUGCUGUAACAAAGCAGCGCAGGCUGAGGGGCUGAGCAGCAGAAAUGUAUUCUCUCACCAUUCGGGGGGCCAGAAGUCCGGUUCUUUCUGAGGGCUGUCAGGGAAAGUCUGCUCCCCGUGGCUCUCCUAGUUUUGCUCGUUUCCUGGCAGUCGUUGGUUUCUCCUGGCUUGGACGUCCGUCAGCGUCACCUUAUCUCCGCCCUCAUCCUCACGUGGUCUUCUCCCAGCGUGUGUUUAUCUCUGUGCCCACAUCUCCCUCUUUUCCAAGGAUACCAGUCAUAGUGGAUUAGGACCCACCCUGGGCACCUCAUUUCCCCCUUGAUCACGUCUGUAAAGACCCUGUUUCUAAAUAAGGUCCCGUUCGGAGGUCCAGGGGGUAAGGACUCCACCCUGUCUUUGUCCAACCCAUUAACACUCAUCUGAAAACUGAAAGUCUGGGUUGCGUAAAAAGGAACCCAUUUCCUUCUCUCUCACAUCUUUAGCUUUGACCCUCUGGAUGCAGGAAAACUGCACCAGAUUAGGAUGAAAGGCGAUACCAGAAGGAAUUUCCUAAUUUACUGAGAAUUAGCCUGUCAGUGACAUUGUGAGAUGCCAGCUCUGAUUCCUCCAGUAGAAUCCGCAGACUUGAAGGUUUGAUGGGGCACAGUCUUUCAGUUUCGUCUCCAUCCUGACCUUGUGUGCUUCGUCCAGGCCCACAUUCCGUUUCACAAGCCCACCGGCCCAUAAUGCAAAAUCCAGGCACCCCGGCGUUGUCUGUGAGUUUUAUCUCAGGCCCUUCUUCCUUGUUCUAACCCCUCCUCCAGCUCCUGAAUCUUGCAUCUCUCUCCUGCUUUUGGACAUUUGUGUCUGUUCUCUGAAUUUCUCCAUUCACCCUCCCCUGAAGAAUUUGUCUUAGAUCUGCUCUACUGGCUCUCCUUGGUUCAAAUCAAGUUGUUGGAUGGGCCGCCCUCGCCAGCCCUUUGACCUCAGUCACCACUGCCAACGCGUCCACCCACCAGCACACAGAAAAGGCUCCCUUAGUUUCUGCACAAAGUGGGGAGUGUGGCAAGGGAAUACAGUGUCACCUUGAGAUAAGUAUCGUGGUAGUCUCCUAGGUGAUUUUUCCCAUGGCUUGUUUCUACCUUGUCCGAUUCGAUUAAAGUGCAAUUAUUUGAACCAUCUUUCUAAGGCGUAAUUCUGAAGAUUCAAUUUGCUGCUCACAAUUCAUCAAGGUCCCUCCCUCCUUUGCCCAUUCAACGAGUGCAAAUUCCUCAGCCUGACAUUUCACCUUCAUAUACCUGCCCGAGUUCCAAACCAGUGGUUCUCAGCCCUGGCUGCACGCUGAAACCACUUGGGGGAAAUUUACAAUCUGCUGAUGCCUGGACCUCACCCCCGGAGGUUCCGAUGUAAUUAGUUUGAGGUGCACCAACAAUUUUAAAAGUCCCCUUAGUAAUUCCAAUGUUGAGCCAAGGUUGAGAACCACCUCUUUAGAGCAACGCGUCUUCAGUUUUAAUGUGUACGGUGAUUGCCUUGUUCAAAUGCAGACUCUGAUUCGGCAGGUCUGGGACCAGCUGAGAUUAUGUAUUUCUAACAACCACUAAUGCUGCUUUGUUACACUUUGAGUCGUAGGGUGAUGAAUUGAGCUUUUUGAGAUCCAGGACCACAUUUUGCUCAUCUCUGUGUCUCCAAAGUACACUGUAGGGGCUCUCAGCAAAUGUUUGAAAGCCAAAUUAAAUUUCAACCUACCCACAACUUUCCAGCCUUUUUUCUCUGUGCUUUGAAAUCCAUGUGAACUUAGGUCUACCUCCUUUUGGAAAAUACCCUUGAAGACCACAACCAGAGGGCCAGCAUUUCAUUCAUUCACCCAGCUAACACUUACUAAGUACCCGUUAUGGCCAGGUACUGGGCAUUCACUGCUUAAUAAAGUGGCACUCCUGCCCUCAAGUUUACAUGUUGGUAGAGGGGGUUUUGCUCUAGGCUGGCACUUUGUAGAUGUCCUGUGCAGGGAACAGGUGUUUUCAAAUCUAUUUUACUUUUGUAAAGUAUAAAAUUAGGCUCUUGGGUAUCUUGGCAACAUUGAAUAAAAAUUUCUAAGUGAGUUCCGCCCUUGUCAUGGAGUGGCAGUAGGUAGUUUUCAGAUUGCAGUGGGCCACGGAUCCACUUUGAGUCCCUCUGCUCUAGUGCCCUGCUGGGCAAAGUGGAGUCUGUGAACCAGCAACAUCAGCAGAGCUCAGGCAGCUGCUAAGAAAUGCAGACCCGGGGCCCACUAAAGGCAUGCGGAGUCAGAAUCUGCAUUUUAGGGAGUUCCCGUUGUGGCUCAGUGGAAACGAACCUGCCUGGUAUCCGUGAAGAUGUGGGUUUAAUCCCUGUCUCACUCUGUGGGUCAAGGACCUAGCAUUGCCAUGAGCUGUGGUGUAGGUCCCAGGUGUGGCUCAGAUCCUGCAUUGCUGUGGCUGUGAUAUAGGCCCAUAGCUGUAGCUCCAAUUCCACCCCUAGCCUGGGAACCUCCCUAUGUGUAACAGUUGGUGAAACUGAACAGGUUUGUCUUUAAAGGGCAGUUUCAAGGGUUGUUUCUUUUUUACUGAGCUGGGUCCUGGGAGUGUGCAUUGAAGCACCCUGCACACAUCCAAUUGGAGGGGAAACCAGCAGCAACCCUUAAAAAAAAAAAAUCUGCAUUUUCACCCGAUCCCCAAGGGGUUUGUGUGCACAUUACAGAUGAAAAAGUGCAGCUCCAGCGCAGAGGCUCCCAACCUUGGCUGCAUAUUACAUUUUUGCAAGAACUCAAGAACAUUUCGCUGCCCGAGCUGUAUCCCAGUCAGAUCCUGGACUAAAGUCUCUGGGGUUGGCACCCAAGCGCCAGGACUUUUUUUUUUUAAAAAAAACAGCUCCUCAGGUGAUUCAGACAGGUGGUGAGAACCAGUGCUAAGUGAGUCCAGAGUCUAUGAGACCCGGGAAGGUAGUUAACCCAUUGCUUUUACCCUCAUAUCUGCUCGGGUUCCCAGAGACCCACUUGUCACUCUCUUCCCUUCGCUUAGGAAACUCAGGACCAAAUAUAGGGUGUUGCAGGGUGGGCAGUUUUAGGAGGACUGGUUGGAUCAGUGGUUCCCCAACUUGCUUUGCGUAACAGUUGGUGAAACUGAACAGGUUUGUCUUUAAAAGGCAGUUUCAAGGGCUGUUUCUUUUUUACUGAGCUGGGUCCUGGGAGUGUGCAUUGAAGCACCCUGCACACAUCCAAUUGGAGGGGAAACCAGCAGCCGUUCCCUUCCCUCCUCUUCCUUAUGGCAGAGUCUGCCCCCAGCGAAGUGUCUGGAAACCACAUACUGUCUUUUCCAGCCUCCCUUGCAGCUUAAAUCUGGCCCUGUGACCCAGUUCUGGCCAAUAUGACAUAAGAGAAUGUUGCUGAGGCUCUCUCUCCCUGCUCAAAAAGGAAGGUCCAUGCUGAUGCCUGCUCAUCUGAACUUUUUAGUGUUUCAGUUUCGAUUCCUGCAAGCUCAGAUUUCUCAGUGGGUCAAACAAAGGAAAGGGACUGGAAAAUAAACCCCAAUUAUGAAUAUUCCAUUAUUUUCCUCCAAGUGUGGGCCAUGCCAGGGACCAGCAGCAUCAGCUCCACCUAAGAAAUCGUUAGGAAAGUGCAGAAUCUCAGACCCCACCGUGGACCUGCAGAAUCAGCAAGAUCCCCAGGUGAUUCCUAUGGACAUGAAAGUUUGUGAAGUGGUGGCCUACUAAGGGUUUUCUUUCUGUAACAGCUUUCUAAUGUCCCUGUGCCUUCUGUUGCCAUGGAAGAUGGGCUUGCCCACAGAGGGAAAGCCAUCAGGAGUCUAGGCCGUUCUUCACUUGGGAAUCCAAACAUCCAUUUCCACACUGCAGUGUAACUGUUGCGACAUGUUCUUUUGGAAAGUCACUACCUAGAUGCCAUCGUGUCAAGCCAUCAGCUAUUUUUGGGUUUUCUGGAAAGGCCAAAGAUUCCGCUGCCCAAAUGACUCCAAAGAACGCGGGGCUGAUGCAUGUCAGAUUUUCGUAUAAAAAAAUGUCAUGGGUGUUUCCUCUUGAGUUCAGCUCCAUUUUACUAACUACAGAAGCCCGUGUAUGACUAUGUCCCACUUAGCAGGUUGUGCUUUUCUGCCUCUUCAUCUCAAGAGCUAUGGCAUGGUUCCUGGCACUGUUUUAUCAGAGAAACAUAACGAGGACUGGAUUUGACAUGCAUCAUAUUUUACGGAUGAUUAUCAUCGCCGUCUCAGAUUUUUCUUGGGGCUCCGAGAUGGCAAAGAACAUUGGAUGGAGACCUGGAAAAGAGAGGGGUGGUGCAGGUGCAUGUUUGCUUAGUUUCUUUUAGAGGAGUUUGGAGGCUGCCAGGAAGUGAUUAACAAACAAGCAGGCAGCCACCUGAGGCCGUCCGUGGAGACUGGAAGACAAGUGUGAAGAAACAGACAGCAGCCCAUGGUCCUUCAAAGGAAAGAAGAAGAAGAAAAAAAAAAGGCCAUAGGAGCAAGAAAUGACUAGUCAAAAGCGGUUUCCAAAUGUGCAUCGUUACCCCUUGCUCUGUGACCCUCUGAACGCUAAACAACGAUGUGAUGGAAUGUGGGAAAAAACAGAUGUGAGUUUAGGCUUAAUGCUUUCCUAAUCCUCGUGCUAUUCUAUUUUAUAGUGUUUGAAAGAUACAUAUUUGAAAGAUUCUUGCUACCGUAAUUAAAUUCUUCCCACUAUGAUCAUUUUAAAGGGCGUAUUGGAUGGAGAAAGACAUUCACAUACAGUUACUAAUCUUUUAUUAUAAACCCAAUAAGUGCUGGGCAUUAGGGAUAUAAAUAUAAAUAAUGUCCCAGCAUAAAACGCUAACACAGUAUAAAUCAGAAGUCCCACAGAAACAAUAAAGUAAUCCUUAAAUCAUAGUUCGUUUCUUAAUUCUCCCAGGAGGAGAAGGCUCAUGUUUCAUAUUUUUCUUUAUUAUUUAGAAGGCAGGACUUCAAAAGAAAUAAAAACAGAAGGUCGGCUGCAGGGCAAGUCACAGUGGCUCCAUUCUUGCGUAUCCAGAAGGGCGUUGCCCGUGUUUACCUUCCUAAAUUGGGAAUUCUUACGUCUUAUCACAAAAACGUGAUCUAGUAUUACUUGGUUCCACUUCACCUUUUGAAACUGGAAGGAACUAUGCUCUUGAUGGUAAGAUACUCUGUGAAUAAUAAAAUUAGGAACAUUCCCUGACUGUGUUUUUAGGUGUUACCUUGAGCCAACAUCAGCUCAUGCGGUGUUUGGAGCAGCUUUUAUUCCUGUUUGAGAGACGUUGGGACCUAAGGUUGAAGGUAUAAUUUUCAACAAAUUUCAGCUCGAAAUGAAGGAUAGAGUCAGGGUGUCCAUUUGACUCCUAUGCUUAAGUUUCUCAGCGCUGGCUUGUACUCUGUCCAUUUUGUCAUCUGGAAGUCAUAGUUGAUGGGUCAUUUUGAAACCCAAAUCCGUU